AACGAACGCUGGCGGCAGGCCUAACACAUGCAAGUCGAACGCCCCGCAAGGGGAGGUGGCAGACGGGUGGAGUAACGCGUGGGAACCUACCCUAAGGUGCGGAAUAGCCCAGGGAAACUUGGAGUAAUACCGCAUAAGCCCGCAAGGGGAAAGAUUUAUCGCCUUUGGAUGGGCCCGCGUCUGAUUAGCUAGUUGGUGAGGUAAUGGCUCACCAAGGCGACGAUCAGUAGCUGGUCUUAGAGGAUGAUCAGCCACACUGGGACUGAGACACGGCCCAGACUCCUACGGGAGGCAGCAGUGGGGAAUAUUGGACAAUGGGCGCAAGCCUGAUCCAGCCAUGCCGCGUGAGUGACGAAGGCCUUAGGGUUGUAAAGCUCUUUUGGCGGGGACGGACAAUGACGGUACCCGCAGAAUAAGCCCCGGCUAACUUCGUGCCAGCAGCCGCGGUAAU
rnacentral:rRNA from 1 species